GUCGUGAGCACCAGAGAAGGGGCUGCUGGUGGCAUGCCUCCCGUCUCUGCUUCACCAGCAACAAUCUUCUGUUUUGUUAACUGAUAUGAGAAAACUGAGGCAAGUCAAGUUACCUGCCCAACAUCAUACUGUGAGGAAACAGCCGAAGCAGAAUUUGAACAUAAGUCAUCUGGCUCUAGGAUCCACGCUCUCAACUACAACCAGCUGAUGUCCCAAACGUCAUGAAAUCUAAUUCCUAAGAAUUCAGGGCACGGUGGAAAGAUAAAGUGGGAAAUUGGAAGAGAGAAGGAGUUUGUACAUUUCCUUAAAAUAUACAGCACUCAAAGUCCAAAGGCAAUGUCAGCUCAUAUCUAAACAGAAGUGGACAUGAAGACAAACUUCCAAAAUGAGCAGAAUGAAAUCACAAUCAAAAUCCAAUUUUCACUGAGGUUACAGAAGGGCUAGAAUCCCAGCCACGGGAAGGAGCUGGGGGCCUUCCCAAGACCCCUUCAGAGGAACUCAAGGCCCAGGCGCUGGCUGUCUCAUGGCUACACGGUGCGACAGAGCCUGGAUGAGAAAUCACUCUUCCGGACUCAAGACUGAGAGCACUUCCCAGGAACGUUCUGCUUCUUUCUAUCUGCCCUGUGAGCCCAUAUCUCACCGUACCCUCAGAGGGGCCUUUCUGUUUCCCAGGUUCCUGAGCAACUCAAAGGACAGCCAGGGAGGGAAUGCUGUGCAGCCGACAGCCUCACACAUCGAGAAAAGCGAUGGCUUCUACAAGAUACUUCCCAAAAUUCAGAAGCCAACACUUGUUGUGAAAGGACAAAAUAAAUCAAAACUUUUCAGUACCUGAGUGAAGCAGCAAUCGUCACCAUCUCCCUCCUCCUACCUCCUCCUACCCCCAAUCCCCAACCAUCCCAUUCCCAGUCCCUUGCUCUCAAAUUUUCCUUCUUUUUUCUUGCCCUAGUGCGAUCCCCAAACUGCUCACCUGCCCAGCCAGGAUUCCACCUGCUAAAAGUUCCUACAACGUGCCUGAGCACAAACUAUUAUCCUGACUAUCUUUUUGCUCUCCGCCUCUGAGCCUGGGGAAGCUGGGGGUGGGGGGAAUCUGAGUUGAGUUAAACUAGAGAAAUUCCUUUCUUGGGAUUUUUUUCCCUCGUAGCCAGCUGUAGUCCAUUACCAGGGAGUC